GCCGGCUUAGCACAGUUGGUAGUGCAUCUGAUUUGUAAUCAGAGGGUCGGGGGUUCGAGUCCCUCAGCCGGCACCA
rnacentral:tRNA from 1 species